AGACCCGAAACCCGGUGAUCUAGCCAUGGGCAGGUUGAAGGUUGGGUAACACUAACUGGAGGACCGAACCGACUAAUGUUGAAAAAUUAGCGGAUGACCUGUGGCUGGGGGUGAAAGGCCAAUCAAACCGGGAGAUAGCUGGUUCUCCCCGAAAGCUAUUUAGGUAGCGCCUCGUGAAUUCAUCUCCGGGGGUAGAGCACUGUUUCGGCUAGGGGGCCAUCCCGGCUUACCAACCCGAUGCAAACUGCGAAUACCGGAGAAUGUUAUCACGGGAGACACACGGCGGGUGCUAACGUCCGUCGUGAAGAGGGAAACAACCCAGACCGCCAGCUAAGGUCCCAAAGUCAUGGUUAAGUGGGAAACGAUGUGGGAAGGCCCAGACAGCCAGGAUGUUGGCUUAGAAGCAGCCAUCAUUUAAAGAAAGCGUAAUAGCUCACUGGUCGAGUCGGCCUGCGCGGAAGAUGUAACGGGGCUAAACCAUGCACCGAAGCUGCGGCAGCGACACUCAGGUGUUGUUGGGUAGGGGAGCGUUCUGUAAGCCUGCGAAGGUGGCCUGUGAGGGUUGCUGGAGGUAUCAGAAGUGCGAA
rnacentral:rRNA from 1 species